GCUACAUGAUGCUUUCAGAGCCAUGAGCGUUUGUUGCUAAGAUGACCUCUAUCACUCUUGACUGUUGGUU